rnacentral:rRNA from 1 species
UACAGAGGGGGCAAGCGUUGUUCGGAAUUACUGGGCGUAAAGGGCGCGUAGGCGGCCUGCUAAGUCGAACGUGAAAUCCCUGGGCUCAACCCAGGAACUGCGUCCGAUACUGGUUGGCUUGAAUCCGGGAGAGGGAUGCGGAAUUCCAGGUGUAGCGGUGAAAUGCGUAGAUAUCUGGAGGAACACCGGUGGCGAAGGCGGCAUCCUGGACCGACACUGACGCUGAGGCGCGAAAGCUAGGGGAGCAAACGGG